GUUUUAAUAGUUUAAAAUAAAACUUUGGUCUUGUAAACCAAUAAUGAACUUUUUGUUUCUUAAAACU
rnacentral:tRNA from 1 species